UACAUAUGUGCAAGUGAAGGCAGUAAAAUAUUUUCAAUCUGACAGAAUUUUUACAUGGCUGAAGUGUGGUGGAUGGUGGAUGGAAGAAAUCAAUCAAAUGAAAAAUAUAUUCCCCUCCUCCACCAAAACAGUAAAGCAAAAAAAAAAAAAUAAGAAUAAAAAAAAAUAAUAAAAAACCACCCCCCAAAAAACAAAGCAAUCCAAUCAUCAAGAUCACUCAGUAAUGGUGUUUCCAUGGAUAUUUAUUUACCGAUGAGCAAAAACUUAAGAGUUGAAUAAAAAGGGGAUAGCCAUGAACAAAGCUUGACUGAUUGUGGUGAAAAAUAUGCGAUAUUCAAUAUGUUCUGUGAGUAGAAUUCUCUGAAAAAGCUGGUGGAUUGAGAAAAUUAUAAUGGCAGACCCUCAGCUUACUCAAGAAAUGAAGAGGCAUGCUGUUUUUGUGUUUAUAAAAGCUGAGAAUAGCAAUUUAGAAAUAUCUUGAUAUUUAAAAGUUGCCAAAUCUUUCAUCUACAAAGUUUAUAUGGAGUUAGAGACUCAAGAUGGAGACAUAUUACCAGUAUUAAAGCAUAAAAAGGAUUCUAAACACUCUAAAAUCAUCACAACACCUGAAUUUAUUCAGCAAGUUCAACAGACCAUUGAUUACAAUCCCAGAAAGUCUAUGAGGUCAAUUUCAAAAGAUUUCCAUGUGUCAGAAGGAACAGUCAAAAAUGUUGGCCACGAAGACAUCAGAUAUAAGUCUUAUAUGAUAAGGAAAGGUCAAUUUGUAAGAAAAAGCAAAAAAAAAAAAAUGCUCUUAAACAAACUGAAAAAUUCAGCAAAAGAUCUGAUUUGGUUUUUCUCAAACAGAAAAACUUCGACCAAGAUCAAAGAGGUAACAAGAAAUGACAGAUGGUUAUGUGCAGACCCUUCUGAAGUUCCAAGUGUUGUGCAUACAAAAUUUCCUGCAACUGUCAUGGUUUCAGGAGUUGUCAGCAAUGAAGGAUGUGAUGCCUCCUUACUUCUUUCCACAAGGCCUUAGAGUUAACUCUGUGGCCUACAUUCAGGUUCUGGAAAUAAUUGUUAAGCCCUGGAUAGACAGUGUAUGGACAAUUGUUGUCGAGAGAGAGAGGUCAAUGAACAUGCCCAUAACACCAAAGAUUCUUUGAAAGCUGCCAUAGUCAGAAUAAUGUCCAAAAUGAACCAGGACCACUCGAUUCAAGCAUGUAGAUGAUUUAGAUCUCAUAUAGAAGCAGUUGUUGAAGCUGAAAGUGGCUUUAUUGAAUAAGAUGAUAGAAAAGAAGGUUUAUUUUUAUCCU